GAUGAACGCUAGCGAUAGGCUUAACACAUGCAAGUCGAGGGGCAGCACAAGGUAGCUUGCUAUCUGGGUGGCGACCGGCGCACGGGUGCGUAACGCGUAUGCAACUUGCCCUAUACAGGAGGAUAACCCGUCGAAAGACGGACUAAUACUGCGUAUGCUCACAACUUGGCAUCAAGUGGUGAGGAAAGAAAUUCGGUAUAGGAUAGGCAUGCGUCCCAUUAGCUUGUUGGUGAGGUAACGGCUCACCAAGGCAACGAUGGGUAGGGGAACUGAGAGGUUUAGCCCCCACAGUGGGACUGGGAAACGGACCAGACUCCUACGGGAGGCAGCCGUGAGGAAGAUUGGUCAAUGGGAGCGAGCCUGAACCAGCCAAGUCGCGUGAAGGAUGACUGUCUUAUGGAUUGUAAACUUCUUUUAGACGGGAAUAACAAGAGUCACGGGUGACUCCCUGCAUGUACCGUAUGAAUAAGCAUCGGCUAACUCCGUG
rnacentral:rRNA from 1 species